rnacentral:rRNA from 1 species
UACGUAGGGCGCAAGCGUUAUCCGGAAUUAUUGGGCGUAAAGAGCGCGUAGGCGGUUUUUCGCGUCUGCCGUGAAAGUCCGGGGCUCAACUCCGGAUCUGCGGUGGGUACGGGCAGACUAGAGUGAUGUAGGGGAGACUGGAAUUCCUGGUGUAGCGGUGAAAUGCGCAGAUAUCAGGAGGAACACCCGUGGCUAAGGCGGCUCUCUAGUACGGUACUGACGCUGAGACGCGAAAGCGUGGGGAGCGAACAGG